rnacentral:tRNA from 1 species
GCAUCAGUGGUUUAGUGGUAAAAUCCAUCGUUGCCAUUCAACGAAUUGAUUCGAUGGGCCCCGUGUUCGAUUCACGGCUGAUGCA